AUGCAACAGGACAACAUUGGUCAGAGACACCACUGGAAGGGGUUCAGAGCCUUCAUAAACCAGAAGGUUCCAAACAAAUAUUCUGGAUGAUGUUCUGAUAUCUAUAACAAAUGGAUGAAACUAAAUCAUGCUAUGGAAGUUGCGAAACAUGAUAAAUUCUGUAGUGAUGAGGGAUGGUGGGACAUCAUGAGAUGAUAAAUGAAAUGAUAACUACGAUAUGUGCUACUGAAGCAAAACUGCACUCUCAGUUAGAAAACAACGCAGAGCAUUUAUUUGCUCUGGAGUAUCAUUAGACGGGUAGAUCUACAGCAAAUUUUACGGCUUCAAAUACUAUGAACCAGCUUACUCCUUAAACCACGAAAAUCAAGUAGGCUUACCUCAGGAGCCCAUGACCUUGGUGAAGGAUGAU